CAAAUAAUGGUAAUAUAUCAUUUGAGUGCUGUUGUUUCCUAAACAAUUGUCGAAAAUUACAAAUCUAAAAGAAGUUAAUACUUUUCGAGGCAUCGAAGUGGGCAUAUUUUAAGCCUUAUUAAUUUUUGAAUCGAAAGCGUUUCGACUCUGAUAGAAUCUUAAAUCAUAUUUGAUCCGAUAAAAAUCUAAAGACACCUUAAACCUGGCAAUCUUCAGACAAAUCGAACCUUUUUUCACCAAUUUUCAACAUUUUGUUACCUACACCAAUAUACGAAAUAAUAUAAUACCCAUUAUAACCAGACAAAACGACGAUUCGAGACGAAAAGACAAAAUAAGCAAAUUCUUAUAACUUUUUUUGAAUAUCAAAAACACACGUUAUAUAUUUAAG